UUUCCGUAAGUGAACCUGCGGAAGGAUCAUUAUUGUAUAACCGAGGUGCGAGGGCUGUCGCUGACCCGAAAGGUCGUGCACGCCCGAGUGCCCUCACACACAUCCAUCUCACCCCUAUGUGCACCACCGCGUGGGUCCCCCUUUGGCUUGUUCGGAGGGGGGCUUACGUUUUCACACAAACUUUGUAUGCAGUGUAGAAUGUAUUUUCUGUUUUUGCGAUCACGCAAUCAAUACAACUUUCAACAACGGAUCUCUUGGCUCUC
rnacentral:misc_RNA from 1 species